UCUAUGACUGAUACCACCCUGAAUGCACCAGAUCUUGUUUGAUCUUGGAAGUGAAUCAGGGUUAGGCCUGGUUAGUACUUGCAUGGGAGAAAGAAAAAGAGAAUGCUGCAAUUUCUAGCC
rnacentral:rRNA from 1 species